ACAAAUCAAGAAGUCUGAUGUAAUGAAUAACCUUUGAUCCUAAUCAUCCAUUUCAACUUUUCGUAUUGAGGCCCCACGUGUGGUUCAUACACCAUGGGUGGCACUUGCUACCAAAAAUCUCUCGUUCUUACAUUGCAUAGAGAUGAACGGGACCUGUAAUUUGGUCAUUAUCAUCAGAUAGUUACGGGCUAGCUGAAAGAAAUGUCACAAGCAGCAGUAAAGCCAGACGGGUCUGAUCCUCCGGCAAGAAAAUCUUGCAUGUUUUACAAGUUGAUGGUUGCUUCCAUUCUCCAAGACAAAAAGCUGAAGAUACCAAAAAAGUUUGUCAACAAAUAUGGAGAUGAACUUUCUUCCGUUGCCACACUUACUGUUCCCUGUGGUCGUAUCUAUCUAGUGGAACUGCAAAAAGUUAACGGCAGGUUAUGGUUUCACAAGGGUUGGCAUGAAUUUGUAGAAUGCUACUCCAUUCGUGUUGGGUAUUUCUUGGUCUUCAUAUAUGAAGGAAAAUCGAACUUCAAUGUUCAUAUGUUUGAUUUGACGGUUUCAGAGAUAAAGAAUCCAUGUAGUUCUCUUAGUCAGUUGCAAGAAUCCAGCCAUGACAAUCCAUGUCUAUUACCCCAUGAGAAAGAUGAUGGCCUUGAAAAAAUCUUGGGUUUCAGACCUCCAUCUCCUAAUGUCCUUUCCUCGAUAACAAGCAAAAAUUGUAAUGAAUAUAUCCAUUGCAGCUGGAUUCAAUCUACUUCCACUGCUAGUCUAGAGAAGCCACAUGUAAGAACAGAUGCAUACAACAUGAGAGAGACCUUUCAAUCUUCUCGAGACAUAGGCACACAGUUUAAUGGGAUGGAGCUUACAAGUACCGAGGAUGGAGCUGGUUCCAUUAUCCCAGGCAUAACAAGAAAAACCAGAGGACGCAAACGGAUGAGUGAGAAUAGCAUCCAGAAUGUGAAACUAAAGUCGACCCAUGUAAGAAAUACUUCUGAAGCUCUUACAAGGAGGCGGAGAGCCGUAACACCAGAGGAAAAGGAAAGGACAAUUCGUGCAGCUCACAUGUUCAGGUCUGAUAAUCCUUUUUUCCGGGUUAUCUUGCGGCCAUCUUACGUAUAUAGGGGAUUUCUUCUGCACAUCCCAUCCAGUUUUGCGCGGACCUUUUUGAACACGGUUACAGGAUUUGUCACACUUCAGGUUUCUGAUGGAAAACAAUGGCCUGUCCGAUGCUCUUUCAAGGAUGGUAAAGCAAAGUUGGGCCAGGGGUGGACGGAAUUUGUUUGGGAAAAUAAUUUGGAGGAAGGGGAUGUUUGUAUCUUUGAGUUGAUUCAUGCAAAAGAAAUUGUGCUGAAAGUUGCUGUAUUUCGAGUGCUUGAAGAUGCAGCACCAACUUGCCAACUUGCAAAUUAGAUUCAGUCAGACAAAAACUAAUCAUGGUUUUUGUAGGAAGUGAAUUGUAAAACAUCAAUCAGGUAAUUAUCAUUACAUGGACACUCGGACUUAGCCUAGAGAAUCACGGAAGAUACUGGACUUCAAAUGAUUUCCAGAGAAGACGAAAAGGUGGUGGAAAUCUGGAUCAAUCCGAAGAAGAAACAUGCCAAAAACUGCUAUUGUUAUCGAAUAUCGAGCAUGAAGGCAGCAAGCCCAAGGCACUUCAGACAGCUUCGAUCCUCAAAAACUAUAAUUUCAUAAUGUGAACAUUCAACUAGCCACCAUUCCAAAUAAGAAAGAAGUUUUGAAAAACAUUAUCUCAUAGACUCAAAUCAUUGCCA